rnacentral:rRNA from 1 species
GGCACCUGCACAGGUGCUGCAUGGCUGUCGUCAGCUCGUGUCGUGAGAUGUUGGGUUAAGUCCGCAACGAGCGCAACCCUUAUCCCUAGUUGCCAUCAGGUAAAGCUGGGAACUCUGGGGAGACUGCCGGUGAUAAACCGGAGGAAGGCGGGGAUGACGUCAAGUCCUCAUGGCCCUUACAUCCCGGGCUACACACGUGCUACAAUGGCAGGUACAGAGGGCUGCGAAGCCGCGAGGUGGAGCGAAUCCCAGAAAACCUGUCUCAGUCCGGAUUGAAGUCUGCAACUCGACUUCAUGAAGGCGGAAUCGCUAGUAACCGCGAAUCAGCAGGUCGCGGUGAAUACGUUCCCGGGCCUU